AAAAAAAAAGGAAAAAAAGAA
rnacentral:sRNA from 1 species